GCUCCAGGGUCCCGCCGCUCUGGCUGCCGCUCUCCUGGGCCGCGCGGGCUUCGCUGUCCGGGCAGGAGCUGCCUCCGUCCCCGCCCGACGUGUCCCCAUCGAGACUCCGGGUCUCUCGGCGGCUCCUUCGGGCUGAGGGUCCCCGAUCUUUUCCUUUUCUUCUGCGUCGACUGCGCUCGCCUGUCCGCCCUUCUCCUCGGGACAGGCUUUCCUCUCCCAGGGGCCCCCCACGGCUGUCCCCCGGCUCGCCGCUCUCCUUGGGCCCGCGUCCCCGACGCCGCGUGCUGCGUCUCUCCUGGGCCUCCGGUGGCAGCCCAGCCCGUGGCCGUCCGCAGUCUCCAUUCCCUUCACCGGUGAGCUCCCUACGGCCACCAGCGGUCCCCUGGCCUCCGGCGGUGGCGGGCUCCGUGUCUGGUUUCGCCAGGAGCCGACACCACUACAAACAGAGCUCCAGUUCCUCAAUUGCCCCAUGACAACGUGUCCUGCGUGCUCUUGAGACAAGCUCUCCAGCUCUGCAUAAGGAUGCAGCUUGUAAAUGAGGAACUGGAGACCAAACUCAGGUUUCUUGACCCUUUGUACCUACUAUUCUGCUGAACCCACACUGUGGGGCUCCACAGUGCUUUUGCUGGGAAUCAGCUCAGGAACCAGACAGCCUUGGUCCCCCAUCCAGCUGCACCACUCCACCUCCUGGGUGUGUGACCUUGAACAAUCUUCAAGGGGCCACCUGGAUCAUCCUGACUCCAGGGACAAGAGGCCUCACCCCCCAAGCGGGGUUCUCUCCUCUGGCUCCUUUUCCCCUUCACUUCUUUUGCCUGCUUUGCUCUCCAGUGAGUGUUGUGUGCUCCUCCGUGGGGCUGUGUGCCGGGCACUCUCCCAACUCCAUCCACACUCCCUCCCUCCCAGAGCCGUCUCCUCCCACCCGACCUCACCCACCAUCCACAGUAACUCUCACCUCCUUUGGUUGGGUGUUUACUAGAAGCCAGGUGCUGUAUGACUUUACACACUCUCAUUUCAUCUGUACAACCCUUGGGGUAGGUCUGAUUAUUAUCCCCCAUUUUACAGAUAAGUAAACUAAGGCACAGGAGUGAGAUCAUGUACCCAAGGUCACAUGGCCGGUCACUGGAAAAGCCAGUGUUCAAGGGCUAGAUCUGCAUGACUUCAAAAUCGAAGUGCUCCACCUCUUUGGAUGCCCAAGACCCUCAGAUCCAAGUCUCAGACCAUGAAUCCAGUUGCCCACUAUGCACAUCUUCAUGGCCCCAGGAAUCAGCAGGGACCCCUCCCACUUACUCGCCUUCUCCCAUCUGGCAGUGGUCCUUGUCAACCCAAUCUCUCAGCGCCUCCAUUUCGUCAUCACCGUCACCUCUCCCUGGACUGCUGCGAGACCCCCAACGCUGCUUCCUGUGCCAGCCCCGCUUCCUCCCACUCGCUUUCUAGAGAAGAGGAUGCCAAGCCCUUCUGUCGUGCACACCCCUCAAUAAAAUCGUUCAUCUCACA